UACGUAGGGUGCAAGCGUUGUCCGGAAUUAUUGGGCGUAAAGAGCUCGUAGGCGGUUUGUCGCGUCUGCUGUGAAAACCCGAGGCUCAACCUCGGGCCUGCAGUGGGUACGGGCAGACUAGAGGUAGGUAGGGGAGAAUGGAAUUCCCGGUGUAACGGUGAAAUGCGCAGAUAUCGGGAGGAACACCGGUGGCGAAGGCGGUUCUCUGGGCCGUUACUGACGCUGAGGAGCGAAAGCGUGGGGAGCGAACAGG
rnacentral:rRNA from 1 species